AGUGAACGCUGGCGGUAGGCCUAACACAUGCAAGUCGAACGGCAGCACAGUAAGAGCUUGCUCUUACGGGUGGCGAGUGGCGGACGGGUGAGGAAUACAUCGGAAUCUGCUUUUUCGUGGGGGAUAACGUAGGGAAACUUACGCUAAUACCGCAUACGACCUACGGGUGAAAGCAGGGGAUCUUCGGACCUUGCGCGAUUGAAUGAGCCGAUGUCGGAUUAGCUAGUUGGCGGGGUAAAGGCCCACCGAGGCGACGAUCCGUAGCUGGUCUGAGAGGAUGAUCAGCCACACUGGAACUGAGACACGGUCCAGACUCCUACGGGAGGCAGCAGUGGGGAAUAUUGGACAAUGGGCGCAAGCCUGAUCAGCCAUACCGCGUGGGUGAAGAAGGCCUUCGGGUUGUAAAGCCCUUUUGUUGGGAAAGAAAAGCAGCAGGUUAAUACCCCGCUGUUCUGACGGUACCCAAAGAAUAAGCACCGGCUAACUUCGUG
rnacentral:rRNA from 1 species